UAUAAUUUAAAGUAAGGCCUGCCCACUGAAUUUUUGAAGGGCCGCAGUAUUUUGACUGUGCAAAGGUAGCAUAAUCAUUAGUUUUUUAAUUGAAAGCUGGAAUGAAGGGUUAAAUGAGAAAUUUACUGUYUUAAUUAAAAUUUUAUAGAAUUUUAUUUUUGAGUUAAAAAGCUCAAGUUAAAUAAAAGACGAGAAGACCCUAUAGAGUUUAAUUUUAAUUAAAAUUAAAUUUUUAGAAUUAAUAAUUUUUUUGAGUUUAAAAUUUGAUUGGGGGGAUUAAAAAAUUAGAUUAACUUUUUUUUAUUUU
rnacentral:rRNA from 1 species